rnacentral:snoRNA from 1 species
GUUUCCCUCCAGAUGAAAUAUUACGGAUGUAAAUGAGCAUAGCUCGAACGUCCGAGAGCGCAUAAACCCCAUGUGGAUGUUUCCGUUGCCUUCCUUCUGAUCUUCGCUU